CGCGACCAGGAGGGGUAAAGAAAGGGUGAAACCCUACUUGUUCAAUCAAGGUCAAAAUUCAGCAAAUUAAUGGUGGUUCUUGACACAAAUCGAAUGCAUGAGACUGGAUACAACUUAAUCUAAGUAUAUUGAUCAUAAGCAUGAAUAGGAAUCACAUUAGCAAGGACUCGAAAGCGGAAGGUUAACGGGUCAAACAGAGGCGAGGAAACAAGCGUGAACACUAACGCUCGAGGUAAGUGACUUUCGAUUCACUUCUUAGUAUACAUAUAGAGUUUUCUUGUUAUGGUUGAAUGGGAUGAUUGAUGUAUAUAAAAUGGCCGACAAGUAGGUAUGUAUGAAUGCAUUUAGGAAAAUUACGUAAGUACAUGCACGUGUGAGCUAAGGUAUGCACGGGUAUAGUUAUGAUUCAUUUUAUGAAUGUAUGUAAGUAUGGAGUUAUGUAUGCAUGUAUGUAUAUAUGUAGGUAUUGGUGUAUGUAUGUACGUAAGUAGUUAUGUAUGAGCAUGAGCAUUAUGUAUUUGAAUAUGAAAGUACAUACGUGUGUAGGUACGAACGUAUAUAUAUAUAUGUGGAUGCAAGUAAGUAUGUAUGUAUGUAUGUGAGUAGGUAUGUGUGUAUGUAGUUAUGUAUGUAUGUAUGUAAAUACAUAUGCGAAGAUGUAAUCAUGUAUGUAUGUAAUUAGAUACGUGGGUAUGCAAGUAAAGGUAUGUAUGUAUGUAGAUGUGUAUUAUGCAUAUGCGAAGAUACGUAGGUAUAUAUGAAUGUAUGUAGAGAAGUAGUAAUGCAUGCGCGAAUGUAGAUAUGGGGUUGGUAUAGAAGAAGGUACGUAUGAGUAUAUGCAGGUAUGUAGAAAUAUAGGAGGACAUGUACGUAUGUAGACGCAUAUGUAUACAUGUAAACAUGUACAUGUGCAUGAUUUAGAUACGUAGAAUUUUAAUGUUACUAAUUAUGCGUGUGAGGUUGGUAUGUGAUGCAGGAACAAGUACACCGGAUUCUUACGGAACUUAAACCGAACCCGGAAUAAGAGGAUGAGGAAGAAUAAUUGGAUGAAUUAAUGUUAAAUUAACGAACGUUAUUCAAUCUUUAAUUACAUGAGAUUAAUGUUAUAUGAUGUUGCCUUUGACUAAUGGUUAAGUUGUAUGUGAUGCCCACAGGUGUUACACGGACUUCUUCUGCUGCUAUGGAAGUGAAGCGGACGUAGAUCGAGUCAAGAGCAAGGAUUGUACGGAUAGAUUGGUCACAUAGUUGAAGUAUAUAACGUUUGGAAAUCUAAAUUUUAGUAUGAAUGUUGUAAAAUUCUUUUAUAGUACGUUUAACAUUUUUAGGAUUUGGAUCCUUCGUGAACGAAAUGUUGUUAAUACGGAAGAAAAUUU
rnacentral:lncRNA from 1 species